rnacentral:rRNA from 1 species
GACGAACGCUGGCGGCGCGCUUAACACAUGCGAGUCGAACGGAAAGGCCUGCUUUCCCUUGUGGAUUGCGGGUACUCGAGUGGCGAACGGGUGAGUAACACGUGAGUGAUCUGCCCCCAACUUGGGUAUAAGCCUGGGAAACUGGGUCUAAUUCCCGAUAGGACUGCAGGGUGGUGCCUGUGGUGGAAAACGAUUUUCUAGUGGUUGGGGAUGAGCUCGCGGCCUAUCAGCUUGUUGGUGGGGUAAUGGCCUACCAAGGCGGCGACGGGUAGCCGGCCUGAGAGGGUGGACGGCCACAUUGGGACUGGGAUACGGCCCAGACUCCUACGGGAGGCAGCAGUGGGGAAUAUUGCACAAUGGGCGGAAGCCUGAUGCAGCGACGCCGCGUGGGGGAUGACGGCCUUCGGGUUGUAAACUCCUUUCGACCGCGAGGAAGCCACCUGGUUGGAAGGGUGGUGACGGUAGUGGUAGAAGAAGCACCGGCUAACUACGUG